rnacentral:lncRNA from 1 species
AAUCAGGAAAGUAGAAUAUUGUGGAUUUUGUGGCGGAUAAAGGAGGUGACGGUCAGUCACGUGGCAUAUAUGAGACCAUUGCCGAUUGCAACUUCGUGAUAUAUAAUUACUUGGACGACGUAAAAAACCCUUUACCAGGAGUUGAAAUUGUCCAGAGAGCAAUUUUGCGACAUGGUGUAUAUAAUAUGAUGUUGCCAAAUGUCACCAACUGUGUGAGGUGCCAGCAACUUUGAGAUCAGUUGUUGGUGAGAUUUAAGUACACGCAACCAUAAACGCACUUUCAAAGAAGGAAUUGUACAAUAAGGACACUUAAUCCAUUAACAAACAAUUGUUCAUUGGAAGCUUAUUACCUAGAUAGAUAUAUAAGUAAAGAAGUUAUAACGUCAGUGCGAAAAGAGAAAUUUGUGAAAUGUUCGAGGUGUCGUCCAUUUAUCAAGACAAAAAUAAAGAAUCAACUCGUUUAACAAAAUAUGAAGCUUAACAGCUACUAUGGAUCCAUGGUCAUGUUUGGCUGUUCCAAAUAUAAAACUUAUAAUUAUGUGUAAAAAAGCGCACAAAAUAUAAUUUUGUUCAUAAAUUUAAGUACUGAAGUUACUGAAUUGAUAUUCUGAUAGCAUACCCACUCGGCCAGCAGGUACAUGUAGCAGUAGGUUCAUUGUAUCUUGAAAUUGUUUGUGGCGAAUCUGUGUACUCAGGUGAAUGAAAAGCUAAAAGAUGUGAAUAAAGCAGUAGAUCAAUGAGCAAAAUUAGUUGCAUUAUUUACAAGCAAGCGAAGUGUGACAAAAACCAUGAGAAAAACGACGAAAAGAUAUGCUAUGUCAUCAGCAAAUGAAUCCAGUUAAAACUGUUUCAGACUUGUUUUUUCUUUAUUGUUCUUAACAUCCCAUUCAUUUUUGACAAUUAAAAAAAAUAUUAAACUGUUUUUGGUAGAUACUUUGAUGACAAAAUACUUUAUACAUUAAAAUAAGCUUACAUUUCCAUCCAGUUAAACACGUAUCCCAUUUCAGCUAUUUCUAUUGAGUUUUGUUUUGUGUGCCUCUUCGGAGAUUUGUGUUAACACAUAUUUGUAUAACAUAACAGAAUGUUGAUUUUUUAUGUAAAGCAGUAAAUUAAACAAAGGGAUUUAGGGAUAUGGAAUUAAAAAAUAUGAUUGUUUGAUUAUUUUUACAUGCAGUGAAUGUGAAACUGACUGCAAGCUGGAUAUAAGUUGCCAAACAGAAUAUUAUGUAAAGCUAGGCCGUAGAAAAAUGUUUUUAUGGCCAUUUACAAUAACGAUGCAACUUCCUUAUUAUCUACAAUUUAUUUUUACAAUAAGUGUUAUAGAUGGAGAGUGUAAUACAUAAUCAGAAGACCUGUGAUCAACCCUGUUCGCGCAAUUUUAUUUAACAUUAUAGAUGAUGUCUACUAUUAUUGUGAGACUGUUUGAGAUAGAGAGUAUCUUUCAUUUUUAUGCGUUUGAAUUUUAACUUAUCCUCAUAGAUAGAUGGUUUGGAGAAAAAUAAAGAUCAGGACAGGAAUAGAACAUGUUUAAAUGGUAUAGUUCAUCAAUUGUAAAUACUAGAUUUGUAAUAAGAAAAAUGUAUGACAAAGUGAAUUAUGAUAGAAAGAGUUGUAACAUAUUUAUACAUAAUCUUUAUGACGAAAUGUAAAUAAAGACAAAUAACCUGACUUAUUGUAUCUUGAAAGUCAUUCAACUCUAAUUAUAAUAUAAUUUGUGACCAGAGAACACCGAGGCCAGUUCUAGAUCAGGACUUUUUCAUCAAUUCGGACAGAGGUUCCAUUCAUUUUGUGCCGUACAGCAAUACGCAAAGCAACAUUGCAGAAGACGAUGACAAAAAGACACACAAAAAAACCGCAUUUCUUAGCUCCUUCCUUCACAAACCAAGAUAAAUAGGUAAUCAAAUGUAUGUGAAUGGUCACAAAUUGAGAUCGCAGAAACUUUAUUUCGUGAUUUGAUUAUCCGGAUACCAUUGCCUUUCUUCGUUAGUAGUUAGUUUAUGUUAUACGAUACUGAUGGAAAAGGUAAAACAAAAUUAUCUUCUCUGCUGCAUGUUCUGUUUUCUAUGCGUAACAGUGUAAAGGAGGCCACCCCCUAAUAUCGGUAUGAUAUGUAACUAUAGUUGGACAUUAAAAUGCAUUAUGAGGAAACAUCUUGCUCCAAAAAUAAUUCUUUUUUUAUAUGUUUAAGGCGCAUUCGAUUAUGCUUCCAAAUAUAAUCAUCAUUCCUCACAAACAUGUAUAAAUCCGAGUCCAAUUAUUCCACAUUUACUCACCAAACGAGCAGUUAUCGAUAUUGGUUAUACACCACUUAUAUCGAGCUCUAAAAGGAAUACGCUAAUGGUUAACAGUUUCGUUUGCAAUGAGUAGAAGACAAUUACAUUAUAUAUAU